GAUGAAGAACGUAGCGAAAUGCGAUAAGUAGUGUGAAUUGCAGAAUUCAGUGAAUCAUCGAAUCUUUGAACGCACAUUGCGGCCAUAGGUAUUCCUUUGGCCAUGCCUGUUCGAGCGUCAUUUACACCCUCAAGCCUAGCUUGGUGUUGGGCGUCUGUCCCGCCGUUUUCGCGCGCGGACUCGCCUCAAAGUCAUUGGCGGCGGUCGUGCCGGCCCCCUCGCGCAGCACAUUUGCGCUUCUCGGAGGCCCGGCGGAUCCGCGCUCCGGCAAGACCUUUCACGACUUGACCUCGGAUCAGGUAGGGAUACCCGCUGAACUUAAGCAUAUCAAUAAGCGGAGGA
rnacentral:misc_RNA from 1 species